rnacentral:rRNA from 1 species
GAUGAACGCUGGCGGCGUGCCUAAUACAUGCAAGUCGAGCGAACAGACAAGGAGCUUGCUCCUCUGACGUUAGCGGCGGACGGGUGAGUAACACGUGGAUAACCUACCUAUAAGACUGGGAUAACUUCGGGAAACCGGAUCUAAUACCGGAUAACAUGUUGAACCGCAUGGUUCAACAGUGAAAGACGGUCUUGCUGUCACUUAUAGAUGGAUCCGCGCCGCAUUAGCUAGUUGGUAAGGUAACGGCUUACCAAGGCAACGAUGCGUAGCCGACCUGAGAGUGUGGUAGGCCACACUGGAACUGAGACACGGUCCAGACUCCUACGGGAGGCAGCAGUAGGGAAUCUUCCGCAAUGGGCGAAAGCCUGACGGAGCAACGCCGCGUGAGUGAAGAAGGUCUUCGGAUCGUAAAACUCUGUUAUUAGGGAAGAACAAAUGUGUAAGUAACUAUGCACGUCUUGACGGUACCUCAGCAGAAAGCCACGGCUAACUACGU